rnacentral:rRNA from 1 species
GACGAACCGUGCGAACGUUAUUCGGAAUCACUGGGCUUAAAGGGCGCGUAGGCGGGCCACCAAGUCAGGGGUGAAAUCCCACGGCUCAACCGUGGAAGUGCCUCUGAUACUGGCGGCCUCGAGGGGUGCAGGGGCAUGCGGAACUCAGGGUGGAGCGGUGAAAUGCGCAGAUAUCAGGAGGAACACCGAUGGCGAAGGCAGGUCUCUGGGCCAUAACUGACGCUGAGAAGCGAAAGCAUGGGGAGCGAACAGG